GGCCAGAGACAUACCAGAGUGUCAGGUUUUUUGAGAAAACUAAGCAUGCUUUCUGAGUCUAGGCAAUGGCAAAGCAAGCAGACCCAAGCCCCUGCAAGAAGGAAGAAAGGCGUAUGCAUAGCAUGUUGGAAAUGGAAGGGGCAUGCCAUCUGGUCCAACCUCCUCUCUGAAGUUAUGGGAAGAACCAUUACUUCUUUCCUGAUGCAGAAAUUAGGACCUGACUCAGUGGAUAGAAUGGUGGAAGAUAGGUAUUUCUAGAAGGCCUGGCCAUGUUUUUUUGUUUUUUUCUGAGAAUGUGAAGAACUACAGAAUACUAUUUCACCAUUGCUGGGACUGUGAUGAAGACACAACACUACGAAUGAUCAAACAAGAGGACUGUUGAAUUGUACCGUGAGAUCACAUCUGAGAUUAAGCCCCCUGGGUUUAAUCUAGACUGUAGAAGACCAAGAUGAUAUGCAACUAAGUGAGGCAAUAAGGUGGACUUCCCUUCAAGAAAUGGAUUUCCUAAGCCUUCGACACGAACUUCAUUCAGAAGCAAUAAAGACCCAAGUAGACUUGCCACCACAUAGCCACUGGCUGGGCCUUGCAAGUCAUCUCAACAGGAGAGGAUGUUUGCCUUCUUUAUCCUUUCCACCUUUAAUGCUCAAAGUUGAGCAAUUUGGACUCUCCUUACUUCCCUGCAAAAGGAGUUUGGUAGCUGAACAUACUGGCACACCAUGAAGGAAGAAAUACUGUGUGACUUACUGACCUCCAAAGUGUGCUGCAGACUCUGCAACCCACCAAACCUGAGAUGAAAGGGAACAAAACAGGCUCAUGGUGAGUAUCCCCUGCCUUGCUGCAUCCAGUUUCAACCUUCGAGUCUUCCACAGCCAGCAAGGUGAGGGUAAUCCUUUCUAGUGCUACCAGACUUGUGCAUCUCCUUUCCAUAGUCACAUCUUCUGGAUCCACUUUCAAGGACUCUUUCAAUGUCAUUGGACUCAUGCAAAUCCCCUUGGAUAGCUGUCUUAUUCUGAGACUAUCUACGUAACACACUGCAUUCAUCCGUAACUUAAGUUCCAAGGGUUCAUCUGAGAUGGCUAAUCUUCAGUGUCUACUUGAUUUGGACACACCUAGAAAACAUACCUCUGGGCAUCUGUGCGAGGGCAUUUUCAGAUUUAACUGGAGACAAUAACAAGUCUGAAUGUUGGCAGCACCAUCCCAUGGGCUAUGGGCCUAGACUGAAUAAAAAGGAGAAAGUGAGCUGAACACUAGCAUUCAUCCAUCUUGCUGAUUCUUGACCCAAUGUGACUAGCUGCCACGUAUCUCUGCCACAGCGUCUUCCCUUCCACAAGAGACUGUCUCUCCUAACAUGUGAGCCAAAGGAAACUCUUUAGAAUUUUUUUAAUCACAGCAAUGUGAAAAAUAACUAAUGUAGCAUCUAACAUCAUCAAGGUCAUAGGUUCUGGAGUUUUGCACGUGGAUAUGUCCUAAAUCCUGAAGCCAGGGUUCUGUCUACCGCAAGGCAACAUUCCAUAUUUUUUUCCAGUAAUGUGAGGUGUGUUCUAUUCUUUACUCCCAUACUGUAAGAAAUUCAAAUGCAAAAAAAGCACUCACUUGUGCUACACAAAGCAAUAAGAACCAUGGUUACUCUUCAUCAACUAUUGCUGUGACAGGCAAUUUAUUUUGAAUCAUUUGCUUUUUAAAGUUGUGCUUCUGUGGGGCAGAAGAUAAUAUUGCCUUCUACAGAUGAAAGAAGUUAGAGGCUCAGAAGGCUUGAGGUCCACUCAGCUACUGAAUUCAGAUUGGCUUCUCCUCAGCCAUGAACUAUAGAGCGCCUCCCAUACCUCUUUACCUCUAAAGUUCAGCCAUGGAGACAAGCCUCCCAGAAUCUCAUUACCUUCUCUUUUCUCAUCUAGUGAGCUCUUUAACUGGAAUCUGGAUUCAUUUUAAGCCUUUCUACUGAAGUGCAUAUUUGAAUGUGGAAAGCAGAACUGAAGAACAUUCUUGAUGAACACUACCUAGAAUCCUACAGAUCAACAUUGGCAUUUUUCUCCCAUUGACAGUCAUCUGCUCUUGGUAUACAUUGUUUUCAAGGAUGCCUUUCUUCCUAGUGUAUCCCAUGUUCUUUUACUGAGACUGCACUGUGCCUGAGUAGAAGUCAAACUGCCCAACUUCCCCCACAGCUUCUUGCUCAAAACCAGAAAAGAAAUAAUAAGCAACAAAUGAAAUUAUUUUCUACCUGAGGUCUGCCAUAGUACAUGGGUUGGUUUGGUUCUUGGUUUUGGAGGUCUUUGUUGUAAAAUUGGGUAGUUCUGCUCUCUGCCACAAAGGAAAAGAAAUAUUGUUUAGGUUCCAUCCUAAUGAUCUCAAAUUGAACCCCACAAUAAUCCCCCAACUAAACUACUAAUUGUGUGAACUUUUCCUGGGGACAUAUACAAACCCCAGCCAUGACAUAAAGAACCAAGGAACAAUUUCAGCCAAGGUUAACUUCGUGAACUGAUAUGUUUAGUAUGGGCACAGGUGAGAGAUUACAGAUUAUUUUCAGGUAAAUGUGCAAUUUAAAAGGACUUGAGAAGCUAUACCACUCAAGAAAAUUUCUUUUUUCUCCAGGCAACUUUAACUUCUAUAUAUCUUCAGGGAGUGUGGGGGGGGGACGACUUAGGAGUCCCCUCUUCUCCACAGAAAAUCUGUCUAAGUCAUCACUUAGCUCAGCUCCAGUAGAGGUAGGAUAAAGCAAUGCAAUAUAGUGCCUUGGACUGGUUCCUGAAAGCACAUUAAUGGGAAAAUUAACUGUGAAAUUAGAAUAAAUUCUAGAGUUCAGAAUACUGUAUCGAUGUUAGUUUUGGAAAACACACAGUGGAGAUGUAAAGGCACACCCUUGAUAAAAGCUUGGGAGAGUGUAUGGGAAUUCACUAUACUGUCUUGGCAACUUUUCUGCAGAGUAAAAAAUGAUUUUUUUUCCUCUGCCAUUCUCUGCUACUUCUCUGUCUGGGAAGCAGCUCAUUCCAGAGAGCCACAGAUGAUCCCAGAAGGGUAUCUACUUGUAAUGCACCUGGAAGCAUGGACUUUUGCAAGUGCCAAUGUUGGGGGCUUGGGAAAUGGCUCAGAGUGGUUGCUGUGCAAGCAUGAGAAUCUGAAUCUCUAGCACCUACUUUUAAAAAGCCAGGCUUAACCACCCAUGGGGUAGAAUCCCAGCACAGUGGGAGCAGGAGAAUGGGGCUUGAUGGUUGUCAUUCUGGCUCCAGGUGUGGUGAGGGGCCCUGUCUCAGAAGAUAAAACUUCCUUUGGCUUCCAAACAGGCUUGCUUAGAUGUGCCCAUAUGCCACACAAAGUCACAUAAGCACAUACAAUAAAAAAAAAAUACCCAAAGUGGCAAUUUAAAAUGCUUGGAUGUUUUAGCUACAUCUAAAGUAGCAAAGAAAGGGACUAUUGGAAUGAAAAAUAAUUUAAAAAAAUGUUUU
ensembl:lincRNA Gm15228 predicted gene 15228